rnacentral:rRNA from 1 species
UACUAAGCUACGAAGGGCGCUCGGCGGAUGCCUUGGCGCCAAGGGCCGACGAAGGGCGUAGCAGGCUGCGAUAAGCCACGGGGAGCCGCGAGCAGGCGCUGAUCCGUGGAUUCCCGAAUGGGGAAACCCGGCGGGGGUAAUACCUCGUCACGAUGCGAUGAAGGCCUUCGGGCCGUAGUAGCCGCAUCGAGGGCACCGGGGGAACUGAAACCUCUAAGUACCCCGAGGAAGCAAAAUCAAACGAGAUUCCCGAAGUAGUGGCGAGCGAAACGGGAACAGUCCAAAUCCGGUCGGUGUGAUAGGCCCACGCCGUUGCCGACCGGGCGUUGCAGGAGCCGGAGCCGUGUGUGGGCACGGCACCCAGUUACCAAAUCGUCCGUUAGCCGAAGGGGCUGGAACGCCCCACCAGAGACGGUGAGAGUCCGGUAGGCGAAAACGGAACGAUCUGGGCCGGAUUUCCUGAGUACCACGGGACACGUGAAACCCUGUGGGAACCUGGGAGGACCACCUUCCAAGACUAAAUACCCUUGGCGACCGAUAGCGAACAAGUACCGUGAGGGAAAGGUGAAAAGAACCCCGGGAGGGGAGUGAAAUAGAACCUGAAACCGAGCGCUUACAGACAGUCAGAGCGCUAUGCCGUGUGAGGCGCGGACCGGUGGGGCGAGGCCCCGGCGGCCAUCUUCGGAUGGCCAAACGGGCAGCAAGCCACCGGAUAAGUGCCUCGUCAGCACGGAAUGCGUGAUGGCGUGCCUUUUGGAGUAUGAACCGGCGAGUUACUUUGCAUGGCAAGGUUAAGGGCCUCAGGUCCGGAGCCGUAGGGAAACCGAGUCUGAAUAGGGCGCUGAGUCAUGCGGAGUAGACCCGAAACCAGGUGAGCUACCCCUGGCCAGGGUGAAGCGGAAGUAACAUUCCGUGGAGGCCCGAACUCACCAGAGUCUCAAAUCUGGGGGAUGAGCUGGGGGUAGAGGUGAAAUGCCAAUCGUACCUGGAGAUAGCUGGUUCUCCCCGAAAUAGCUUUAGGGCUAGCGUCGGGCUAUGGUGUCGUGGAGGUAGAGCACUGACUGGGUACGGACCCUAACGGGUACCAAGUCCUAUCAAACUCCGAAUGCUGCGACAUCGGCCCGGCAGUCAGACUGUGGGGGCUAAUCUCCAUGGUCAAAAGGGAAACAGCCCAGACCGUCGGCUAAGGUCCCUAAGUUCUUGCUAAGUGGGAAAGGAUGUGGGGUCGCACAGACAGCCAGGAUGUUGGCUUAGAAGCAGCCAUCAUUUAAAGAAUGCGUAACAGCUCACUGGUUCAGGGGCCCUGCGCCGAAAAUGUAACGGGGCUCAAGCAAGACACCGAAGCCACGGGUCGGCGGCUUAUGCCGCCGGCGGUAGGGGAGCGUUCUGCGGGCCGCGAAGGUCGAGCGUGAGCACGGCUGGAGCGCGCAGAAGAGAGAAUGCCGGUAUGAGUAGCGUCAAUGCAGGUGAGAAUCCUGCACCCCGAAAGCCCAAGGGUUCCUGAGGAAGGAUACUCCGCUCAGGGUUAGUCGGGCCUAAGCCGAGGCCGAAGGGCGUAGGCGAAGGGCAACGGGUUUAUAUUCCCGUACCACCUCGAAUGCGAUAUCAGCGAAGGGGGGACCCGGGACGGUAGGUCGAGCGUACUUAUGGCUAUGUACGUCCAAGCGUGUAGGAAGGCGCCGCAGGCAAAUCCACGGCGCUAGUUUCGAGACGCGAUGGGAAGCUCAAGGUCACCCGCGAGCAACUCGAUUGAUCCGACCUGGCUAGAAAAGCCUCGUAGCGAGCACUUGAGGUGUCCGUACCGCAAACCGACACUGGUGGGCACCGGCGAAAACCGGAAGGGGAUCGGGACACGGUCUGCUAAGGAACUCGGCAAAUUAGCCCCGUAACUUCGGGAGAAGGGGUGCCUCGGUAGAGUGAUGGUGCUGCGCGCACCUGAGCUCGAGGAGGUCGCAGUGCACAGGCUCAAUCGACUGUUUAUCAAAAACACAGGUCCCUGCGAAACCGAAAGGUGAUGUAUAGGGGCUGACACCUGCCCAGUGCCGGAAGGUUAAGGCGACGGGUUCACGCUCGGAACCGAAGCCCCGGUGAACGGCGGCCGUAACUCUAACGGUCCUAAGGUAGCGAAAUUCCUUGUCGGGUAAGUUCCGACCCGCACGAAUGGCGUAACGACUUGAGCACUGUCUCGGCAGACUACCCGGCGAAAUUGCAUUGCCCGUGAAGAUGCGGGCGACCUGCGGCAGGACAAAAAGACCCCGUGGAGCUUUACUGCAUCUUGGGAUUGAGCCGCGUCUGUGCAUGUGAAGGAUAGGUGGGAGACGGUGAAUCCGGGGCGCUAGCCUCGGUGGAGUCACCCUUGGGAUACCACCCUUGUACAGCUGCGUCCCUAACUUGCGACCGUUAUCCGGCGCAAGGACAGUCUCAGGUGGGCAGUUUGACUGGGGCGGUCGCCUCCCAAAAUGUAACGGAGGCGCCCAAAGGUUCCCUCAGGCUGGAUGGCAAUCAGCCGUAGAGUGCAAAGGUACAAGGGAGCUUGACUGCGAGACAUACACGUCGAGCAGAGACGAAAGUCGGGCUUAGCGACCCUGCGGUUCCGAGUGGAAGGGCCGUGGUCAGCGGAUAAAAGUUACCCCGGGGAUAACAGGCUAGUUGCGCCCAAUAGUUCACAUAGACGGCGCAGUUCGGCACCUCGAUGUCGGCUCGUCACAUCCUGGGGCUGAAGAAGGUCCCAAGGGUUGGGCUGUUCGCCCAUUAAAGUGGCACGCGAGCUGGGUUCAGAACGUCGUGAGACAGUUCGGUCUCUAUCCGCCGCGGGCGCAGGAGGCUUGAGAGGAUCUGAUCGAAGUACGAGAGGAGCCGGUUGGACGGACCUCUAGUGCACGAGUUGUCGCGCCAGCGGCAUUGCUCGGUAGCUAUGUCCGGAUGGGAUAAGCGCUGAAAGCAUCUAAGUGCGAAGCCCACCUCAAGAUGAGGCCUCCCACUGGAACAACCAGGUAAGACCCCAGCGAGAUGAGCUGGUUGAUAGGCGGCAUGUGUAAGCGGUGAGAGCCGUUGAGCAGAGCCGUACUAACGGUCGAGGGCUUAGACUU